rnacentral:rRNA from 1 species
AAACGGGUGGUAAUGCCGGAUGCUCCAGUUGAUCGCAUGGUCUUCUGGGAAAGCUUUCGCGGUAUGGGAUGGGGUCGCGUCCUAUCAGCUUGACGGCGGGGUAACGGCCCACCGUGGCUUCGACGGGUAGCCGGCCUGAGAGGGCGACCGGCCACAUUGGGACUGAGAUACGGCCCAGACUCCUACGGGAGGCAGCAGUGGGGAAUAUUGCACAAUGGGCGCAAGCCUGAUGCAGCGACGCCGCGUGAGGGAUGGAGGCCUUCGGGUUGUAAACCUCUUUUAUCGGGGAGCAAGCGAGAGUGAGUUUACCCGUUGAAUAAGCACCGGCUAACUACGUGCCAGCAGCCGCGGUAAUACGUAGGGUGCAAGCGUUAUCCGGAAUUAUUGGGCGUAAAGGGCUCGUAGGCGGUUCGUCGCGUCCGGUGUGAAAGUCCAUCGCUUAACGGUGGAUCCGCGCCGGGUACGGGCGGGCUUGAGUGCGGUAGGGGAGACUGGAAUUCCCGGUGUAACGGUGGAAUGUGUAGAUAUCGGAAAGAACACCACAC